GGGGCGGGACGUCAUCUUAUGUAGCGGUGUAUAAAACAGAAGAUCACGUGGACGGACGUUCUGUUUUAUACACCGCUACAUAAGAUGACGUCCCGCCCC